UUCUGCCAUUGUCAUUGGUGGUGGAUUUGCAGGGAUUGCAGCUGCUCAUGCACUGAAAAAUGCAGCUUUUCAGGUUGUGCUUUUAGAAUCUCGGGAUAGAAUUGGUGGUCGAGUUCACACUAACUACUCAUUUGGUUUUCCUGUUGACAUGGGAGCAGCCUGGUUGCAUGGUGUCUGCAACGAGAAUCCAUUGGCAUCUUGGAUUGGAAGACUUGGUCUACCAAUUUAUCGAACUUUUGGUGACAAUUCUGUCU